rnacentral:lncRNA from 1 species
UUGAUAAUUUUAUUUUGGUGGUUUUCAUGCUACAUAAAAAUUAGUUUUUAUAUCAAAAAAUUAUUCACAAUAUUUCCAAAAUAGUUCAAGUUUUUUUUUUCCUUUUUGUGUUUUUUAAAUAUUUUUAAUGUAUUUUCAUUUCUUUUUUUUUUUUUUUAACUGCAGCUAGGGUUACAAAACAUCCCAUUUCCUCUCGCCACCACCAUUUCGCUGUCAGUUCCCUUUUACAUUUGUAUAUGUUAAAAAAAAAAAAAAAAAAAAAAAAACGAGAAAGAAAGAAAGAAAGAAAACCUUAUUUUUUUAUCAUUUACUUGAAAAACAAAAAGUCAUUUGGCACUCAUGUCUCUGUGGCUCUGAUUUUCACCAGUGGAGUGGCUGGAGGUGGGCGUACGUGCGCGCGCAUGUGCGUGUGCAAAGGGGAUGAGGAGGAGGCAAAAUUUAGGCAAAGAUGGUCUUAGAAGUGAAUAGGGAAAUAUCCGCUGUGUACAACAGCCUGACGGGUGGUCAGGUUCAUCACAAGAUACCAACAGCUCAAGAGGAGGUAGCAGUGUUGGGCAGUAGAAGACUUACACUAGAGGUGAGUAUUCCUUUUCCUUUUGGUUGAUAGACUGAGCUAAUCAAAUGUGCUCUCAAAAGUAAAUGUACAUUAGUUAGAAAUCAAAUACAGCCAGAGUUAACCUCUGUCAACUUUGAAGAUACUACCUGCCCCAACCCCAGUAGACACAGCAGUCCUCCACUGCUUCUUGCAGCCACUUCCAAGUGCCAAAGGGUGAAGGUGCUGGGCUUUCUCUUGGUGGCAAGGCAUUGAUAUCUGGCUAGAUAUCCAUGCCCCACCUUUAACCCAUACUUCAUGGCUUGUGAGACUCUGCUGGGCCCAAAAAGGCAUUGUCCAAGCUGAGAGUCAGCCCUGUCCACUGGAGGCAACGCUGGACAGCUCUGGCCCAGGCACAGCCAUCUUCCCGUCCGUCCCCAUGGCCUCACUCCUGCAUGGGGAGACCUGUGUGAGGAGGAGGCAAUACAGGGAGCUGAGGGGAUGGCUCAGGCCAAUCCAAAUCUGUUGGCCUCCUUUCUGCCUGUUUAUCUUCUUUCUCCCACCUCCCUCCCAUGAACUGUGAGUGAGAGGUUUCUUCUCAGCCCACUCUCCAGCCUGCCCCAAGACAAGUGCAAGCCAGAGGGUGAUCACUUUGGGCACCCAUGGCCUUUAGGCCAGGCUCCUCAGCAGCCACCAGACCCCUGCUCUGAUUGUCACCACAGAAAUCCCCCCAAAAGGACCUUUCUCCCUCUCACAAUGGCAAUUCCAAAUGGAGUCAGGAGGGAGGGACCCAGGGGUCAGACUCCCUCCUUGCCUUCUCCCCACCCCAAAGCUCACUGAAGUAACACUUAUUUUUAAGGGAAAAAUAGAGAAAAAUUUUAAAAAAAGGAAGGAAAAGAGAAGGAGUACCAAGAAAACCCACAACUCCAAACCAAAACCCACCUGUGCGUCGGUAUUUGUUUGCCUUCUGUGACUCCACAGGGAAGUCAAUGAAAAGCUACUGCUUCCUGAAAGGCUGCUGCCUUCUUUAUAGACCAGCCCAUGCCUCCAAAUACAGACGGAGCCUUGGUCACUGGCAAAGAGAUGCUUCAAGAUAGCCCUGCCAUUCAGGAAAACACGUACAAAGGAAAGAUCCCAAACAGCUGAACCACACAAACAACAACUGCACAGAGCUGAGGUCUCAGAAAGUUGUAUUGCUGAAAACAUCUCCCUGCUCCCACUAAAAGGACUGCAGAAAACAAACAAACAAACAAACAAAAACAAACAAAAGAAAUCAACAGAUAAUCAAGGAACGUAUUCCUUCCGCAUUAGAAAUUUUGAAAAAUGCAAAGCUAAAAAGAGCAGUUUGCUGCAUUUCUGACCACAUGUGAGAGAGAGCCUGCUCCAAAGAUAAGAA